AAGUUGAGAAAAAGCCAUAAGGAAGCACUUGUACCACUUGUACAGGGAUAAGAGUUGUCCUUGUUUCCAGUUUCAGUAAACAUGGUAAACAUCACUUCCAUGUGUGCUGCAUGUGUUUGUGAGGUGGGUCUGAUAUCUGAUCUUGUGUAGUGAAGUUUGUAUGAGUAAUGCUGUCAGAAUUUCACCAUUGGCUACAGAAUCAGGGUCAGGCAGUUGUCAGCUUUCCCCAGAUGCAGCAUGUCACCUGAUCAGAGAUAGCUCCUGCAAGUGAUUUUUCAUAAAAGCUGCUGCAAAGUUGGAAUUAAUCACUCCAACAUGGAUGUGAACCCCUACAAACGUUGUGAUGCCUGUUACCUGAUUCCCACCCGUGUCCUGUGUAUAGGGCUUGUUAUCCUCCAGGGUGCUAUAAUAGACUACUAUCUGAUCCAACACAACAACAGCUACUGGUAUGCAUGGAUAGCAGCUGAUGUAGCCUUGAUCUUUAUAUUCAUCAUGGCAUUUCUCUUCUCAUAUCGUCACCUUCAACUUGUUAAAAUUACUUCAAAUGAACAGGCCCCUGUUCGGGCAGGCAGUCUCCCUCUUGGGUUCUUCGCCUGGUUUGUGUACUCGAUCAUUCUUGCAGUUCGUGUUGGAAUAAUAUUUAAAAACUUUGCAUGGAAACUUAAAGAAGAAGAUUUCUUUGGUCCAAAUACUCUCAAGAUCGCUGUUGCUCUUUCAGCUUUAGUGUUCGUACUGCUGUUGUUAUCACAUCAUGAUGCCCCACCAAAAAGUGAACGACAAAAACACAUCGACAUUCUUACACAAACUGUCGUGUUUGAUAUUUUAGAUUCUGUUGAUGUCCUGGAUGUGUUUUUUGAAAAGGAAAAUGUGGACGCUCUUAAAAUUCUCCCAGGAAUUAACUGGGGAAUCAUCUGCAUAGCGUGUGCCAACCUCAUCAUCCCCACUCUCCCACUCAUGGCGCUGAGUCGGAUACACUUCGGCUACAAGUUCCUUCCAGAAACACUGGAGACUUUACACAAGAUGCUGCUGUUGCUAGUCAUCAACACCCCGCUGUUUACGCUGCGUCUCAUCCUCUGGCAUCGACUGGAUCAAGACGUGUCCACCUUCAUCAUGAAGAACUUUCUUGUCAUUGGUCUGGUGAUCUAUGACUUUUACAACAAAGGUCGAUUCCGGCGAAUGCAUGGUGGUACGGAAGAAACGGAUGGUGCGAAGAAAAGGGAGAUGGAAGAGAUAAUGCUGAGGGAUCAUAAUGCCAGCUUUGAUAAGAGUCUUCAAACAUGAAGGUGAAGGUCAUCACAAGGCCAAGGGUUAUGACAUAUUUCUCUCUUGAUGUGUUGGGUGAAGGUCAUCACAAGGGCAAGGGUCAUGACAUCUCGCUCUUGAUUUAUUGGGUGAAGGUCAUAACAAGGGCAAAGGUCAACUGAAGGGCAAGGGUCAUGACCUCUCACUUUUUUCUCCUGUCACAGCUGUGAUGGGACAAAAUGGCAAUUAAGGCGUCACUUUGAAAGUUAAAGUAGUCAGAAUACCAUUCUGUUCUGAGAAUUGAACACUAACGUCAAUUUCUUGAUGUUUGUUUGCAAUACAAACUUGACAAUCAUUAUACUACAUCAGUAAUUGGCUUUGCAGAAAGACAGCAAAUUCUUGAAAUUAAAUUUCAGCAUACAUGGCCAUACUUCACUCACUUAAGUUUGAUAUUCAACUUAUAUUUCUGUCAGACUUACUUAGAUUUUUAUCACUUCCUAUUGUAUUAUUGUUUCAAAGUAUUCUUUUAAAUGUGUGUAUGUUGUGUGUUUAGAAAUGUUUCAUUGUUACAUGAACAUUAUGAUUCAUUGCAAAAAUGCAGUAGAAUGAAAGACUGGAAUUAAUUUCUUUUGAAUUAUUUAUUAGAUGUUUCGCAUAAACAUGAUAAAGGGAAAAAAUACUGCCAGCCAACAUGUGUGGGUUAAGCCUACAGCAUCUAUACGGUAUCUUACUGCAAUGGUUUUAGAUACAAAUUGUUUGUUGCCAUAUUUGUUUAUAUUUUUGCAUCACAUAUUUUAGGUCAUUGUUAGUAAGCAUUACAAAACAUCCGUUUUACUGUAAGGAGCUUGUAUUGCAGAGAGUCUUCUCUCCAGUUGUAUUGGGUAUGUAGUGGAGUUUAUGGAAAUUUAUCAAAACAUCAGUCACCAAUAGAAUUGGUAUUUUACAUGCAAGGUAAGAUGAUAAAUGUAUCUUCAAUUUGUUCAUUUAUAAGUGUGUAUACCUUUGUUGCAGACAAGUGAAAAUAUAAAUUAGUUCUAAAGUCCAUCACUGGAUUGAUCACACAACACCAUAAGCAUUAUGAGGUCGUCAAGUUGCAUCAAUGGACCUAGGAUAUAUAUCUGGUUAUCACCUUAUACAGUUAGUUAUUAAGAAUUACAUUUUGAAAGUAAGGGAGAUUUUACACGGAACUAAAAUAUUUAUCUGAUUUGUUCAUUUAGUCAUUGCUAGUUAAUAUCUGUAUGUAGUGUUAACUGUAAGUAGAGUCCACUUGGCUUGUUCAUAUUGCAUAAAAUCAAAUAGAAAUUUUAAUAUGAAUACCAAUGCAAAAUUAAGAAUUCACUGUCACAGAAAUGUUUACCGGUACAUACAAGUAUAUUUAGAUGGACAAUGAGGAGGUAGAAAAUUCAAUUUUAAACAUUUAAUCAGCCUAAUAGUCAGCCUAGUUCAUAUUUAGCAUUUAAUUGAUUCAUUGCAGGUCUACAUAGGUAAUUGUUGUCUAAACACAUAGGGAAUAUCCUACCGUAUAUAGCUGUGUGUAAGGCGACCCCACGUAUAAGACGACCCCCUGUACACGCCUUCGAAAUUGUACAUAUCUAGUCAUUAGAUCCUCAGGAAAACCCUUAAAUUAUUAAUCAAAGAAUUUGAUGGUCUCUGUAUGAAGGUUGGUACUACCCACAACACAACUCAAGGAUCCACCAAGCUGUUUCUAAUACUGCAUACUACUGCAUGCAAUACAAAACAAUACUCAUUCACUCACUCACUCACUCACUCUCAUAGAUUGUUUUAUUCAUUCAGAUCAUUCACAGUUUGACAAUCAUCCUUGUGUUUUUUAGUUGUCCCCUGACUUUGUGGGGCUGGCUUUAUCAUUGUUUAACGGAAGGAUAGAUUGAAAAAUAAUAUUUGUACUUGAUGUAUUUAUUACAGAACCACUUUUGUGACAGAUUUUGUAGAUCAAAGAAUUCUGUCAGGAAUGCAACAUUUAGUUUCCCAGUUUGAUAUAUAGUGGGGUUAUUGUUCUUGUCUGUUACCAUGGUAACCACCUCAUUCACUAUCAUUACACUUAGUCACUACAGACAUAAGUGCUGUUGUAUAAAACAAUCUUAGCGCUAAGACUGUUGUGAGUCUUUGUUCAGAUAUGGGAGUUACGAUCACCUUAGCACUAAAAUUGCUUUGUACAAUGUCACCCUGUAACUAUGAACAGUAUAUAGCAAUAGUCACUGGAUUGCUUGCCUUUGACUGGUGAGAAGUGACUAAGUACUCAGUUUCUAUUCUGAACUUUUAACACUUUUAAAUGUUACAUUCUGAAAGAAUGUCUUGCUCAGUUCCAUAAAGCUUUUUGAAAUUCAGUUAUGAUGUUUGUGAUUCACUGUGUUCAUCUAACCAGAAGUUAGCCAGUUAUAUCUCUGUGUGGAUGUGGAUGAAAUGAAACAGUCACUAUGACUAAGAUAGAGGUUUGUAAAACCCACUAGCAAUGGCAAUGGUACAGUUAAAAUAAGGAUCAUAAUCUGGUAAAGUAUGAUUUCAACAAUCUAUCAGCAGAUCCUGGUAUGGCUAAGGGAUGGAACUCUGCAAAGCACAUAGCCAUCUGUGCACCAUCUUCAUGAAGAAUAUACUUGCUGCAUCUCUAGUUUUGUACAUGCAGUAUAUUUAGUCUGCUUCCAUCUUCAUCACGUUCAGGCCUGGAUCGGGUCACCGGUGGCCAAGUUGUCUAAGGCACUGUGCAGAGUUGCGUCCCUUGGUCCCUUGGUCACAGAAACCUGUGAUGGUGGGUUCUAUUGAUUACAAGUUUGCCCCAAUGGUGUUUCUAGGUGUUUGUUGGUUUCACCAAAGUGGUAAACAUGGUAAAGAUCUGAGACCUGCAUCACUUCAGGUUGACACGAUGUUAUGUAACUGCAAUACUGUUCAAUGCGGUGUUAAACCAACUCACUCACACCAGCAUGGCAGCGAAGUAGUUAUUACUUUGAUGAACAUAUUUUGCUAUUGAAAAUGUUGAAAAUAUUGUAAAACAUUGUUGAUAUUUUUUAACUUUUAAUUUGAAAUGAAUGUCCUUUUGAAGACAUUUACCUACUUUUGGUCACCUUUUUUUGAUAACCAGCUAAUACUAUAACACAUGUUUGUUACCAUCAUAUAUUUUUGAGGUCAUAUAUAUAUAUAAAUGAAAAAAAAUCAAAUACUUAUCCCUGUCCAGAACCAUUGUAAUAUACUCAUGUUUUAAAUUUAGCAUUUAUAAUAGUAGAAUUUUGUGAUGCUAUGUGUUAACUUGUGAACCCCAAGAGGUAUAUCAUGAUUGUACUGAUGACCCUUUGUAUAAGAUCAGUGAUCAUCAUCAUAAUCAACAUCCAGUAAGACUGUUUUAUUGUAGUGGAAGUGCUGUCUCUUGUUAAAGAAAAAGACAUAUUCUUUAUACAUUUUUAAGUCUUUAAUAUAUAUUUCUUACAAAUGUCUUGAAAACAAAUUGUGGCAAAUAUUUUAAAGAAUGUUCUCAAUUUAUCAUGUGUAUGUAAACAACAGUCUGCAUUCUUUGUUUUUCUACUCUAUUUUCGAAGUGACUUUGAAACG
rnacentral:misc_RNA from 1 species